GCAUGUGAGGGCGAUCUGGCUGCAAUAUCUGUCACCCCACUCAUUGCCAUGGUUGAUUUGGCUGAUCUGGCUGGCUAGGCGGGUGUCCCCUUCCUCCCUCAGCGCUCUAUGUGCGUCCCACCCUUUUGUUAAAAUUCGGAGGCUCCAGCUGGCUGGGCUAGCUUCACGGGCAGGUAACAGAGACGCGCGGACACAUGGCUGGGCAGGGAAGUGUAUUUCUUUAUUUAGGAACAACGAUUCAUAAACUAAACCAAACUAAUCACCAAACAGAACUCUGUUGCCUCUU
rnacentral:snRNA from 1 species